CGCCAGACUCCUACGGGAGGCAGCAGUGAGGAAUAUUGGUCAAUGGGCGAGAGCCUGAACCAGCCAAGUCGCGUGAGGGAAGACGGUCCUAUGGAUUGUAAACCUCUUUUGCCGGGGAGCAAAAAGCGGUACGCGUACCGCAUCGAGAGUACCCGGAGAAAAAGCAUCGGCUAACUCCGUGCCAGCAGCCGCGGUAAUACGUAGGGGGCAAGCGUUAUCCGGAAUUACUGGGUGUAAAGGGUGAGUAGGCGGCAUGGUAAGCCAGAUGUGAAAGCCUUGGGCUUAACCCGAGGAUUGCAUUUGGAACUAUCAAGCUAGAGUACAGGAGAGGAAAGCGGAAUUCCUAGUGUAGCGGUGAAAUGCGUAGAUAUUAGGAAGAACGCCAGUGGCGAAGGCGGCUUUCUGGACUGAAACUGACGCUGAGGCACGAAAGCGUGGGGAGCGAACAGGAUUAGAUACCCUCGUAC
rnacentral:rRNA from 1 species